GGGGUGGACCGUCAUGCUCUUCUUAUCUCAGAAGAUUUCCCCAUUCCAAUAAAGUAGAUUAUUUGCUACUUUCUAUUUUCCCUACACAAAAUCAGCAUGGAUAUCCAAAACUGAUGCCGAUAGACCCGGUGUUGAUCCAGUAGAAGAGAUAAUCAAGCAGGAUGCCUUUCCUUGAGCAGAGCUUCCGGGGCAAUUUAAAUCAAAUGGGGCAGGAAAGGAAUAAGAAUAGGAUGCCCACCAAGAACAGAAUUGCAUCUAAGGAUGAUUGCAAAGGAUCAGUAAAAAAGAAGUGCUGCAAUGUUCAAGGAAAGAUCUUGAAUAUAUGUAUACAAAUGAAUAAAAAGGAGGCUUCAGAGGCUUGCAUUAUAGAGAGGAAGUAACAAAUCCAAAAAAAAUUAUACUAAUGCAGGACACAAUGAGAAGAUACAGCAACGAUAAUUAAACAUCUCCCGGAAGUUUGAUCGAUGAGGACUUGGGAAGAGAC